UACGUAGGUAGCAAGCGUUGUUCGGAGUUACUGGGCGUAAAGGGUGUGUAGGCGGUCUUCUAAGUUUGGUGUGAAAUCUCCCGGCUCAACUGGGAGGGUGCGUCGAAAACUGGGAGGCUAGAGUGCGGGAUGGGAGAGUGGAAUUCCUGGUGUAGCGGUGAAAUGCGUAGAUAUCAGGAGGAACACCAGUGGCGAAGGCGGCUCACUGGCCCGGUACUGACGCUGAGGUGCGAAAGCGUGGGGAGCAAACAGG
rnacentral:rRNA from 1 species